GCUGCGGGCAGGGGCGGGGUGCGCGCCCUCUCCCCUUCCCGGGCCUCGCGCGUGGGGCCGCAGGAGCCAAUCCGAGGGUGGGAGCGGAGCGGCGCCCUGCGGAAAGCGGAUUCUACCUCGGAGAGGGCGGGGCGGACAAUGGAGAGCUUCUAGUGCUCGGCGCUCAGAGGUGAGAGUUGGGCUGGGAAGUGUUCAGAUUUCAGGAAACGGUGAAAAAUAAGUUUUUGGAAAUGAGCGAAUUUGUCUUCCACAAGCCUCCCUUCCCUGCGCCCAUCCCCGAGGAGGAGCGUCGUGGUCAAUUUUAAAAAUACGAACUCAAGAGCAGAGUUGUGUGAGGACACACACUUCGAAUCGUGAUGCAUCUGCAGUCCGCUCCCGCCCCUUCCCACCCCGCGCGUUGGGUGCAGGAGCCGUCUUUAUUUUCUAUUUCAUUUUAUUUUGAGACAGGGUCCCGCUCUGUGGCCCAGGCUGGAGUGCAGUGGCACUAUCACGGCUCACUGCAGCCUCGAACUUCCAGGCUAAAGAGAUCCUCCCACCUGUGCCUCCGGAGUAGCUGUGACUACAGGCGUGCACCACCACAUCUGGCUAAUUUUUAAAUUUUUUGUAGAGACAGGGUCUCCCUAUGUUUUCCAGGCUGGUCUCGAUCUCCUGGGUUCCGGCGAUCCUCCUGCCUCGACCUCCCAAAGUGCUGAGAUUAUAGGUGUGAGCCCUGUGCUUGGCCAAGGAGCCGUCUUCAGUGUGUGCACAGGACCAGGCGCAGAGAAGGUACCCCAUUUCACAGAUGAGGACUCAGCACAGAGAGGCUAAGUGACGUUCCCGAGACCACACAGCUGGCACAGAGUUCUAUCCACCCAUCAUUAUCAAAUUCUAGGGUAAAGCUGUGUGGCUUUAACAGGUUACUCUCCCUCUCUGAGCCUCUGUUUCCUCAUCUAUAAAAGAAGAAUAAAGGUGCUACUUGGCAGGGAACCAGGUGAGGGACUGGGCAGGCAGCAGGCUUCAGAGGGUGAAGCAUGGGCAUUCCCUGCAAAAGAAAUGGCAUCAGACUAUGGCUGAGAGACUGGUUGGAAGAACAAAGAAGAGGGUGAGCUGGAGGCUGAAGUUCAGGCUGCGGACUUGAGGGUGCCCUGUCUUCUUCAGGCCCAGGGGUUGGGAGUAGGCAAGUUGGGCCCAGGAAGUUGGGACUGGUCUCUGGAGCCUGAGGGCUGGGAGAAGGCAGUUUUGCCUUUACUUGUUGAACUUGACGCUAAGAAACCUUGUGGCCCUUCCCUCUGUCCAGAGCCCUCUCUGGCUCCCGGUUGCCAGCAUGACCAAGCCCUACAUCCCUAGCCUGGCGUUCCAGCCCCUUUGUUAUUGCUCUCUGCCUGCUGACUCCACCAGCCUCAUCUCCCCAUUGCUUACUUCCCUCUCUACUUGCGCCAACUUCUCUCAGCUCCAUCAGCAAGCAGGAUGCAUUCUGUCUCCAUGCAGUUGUCUCCUCCAUGUGUUGCUUUGCUGUUCCCCUUCUCUCUGGAGUUAAUUCUCAUUUCUCUGCUGGGCUGAAGGGCAGAACCUCUAGGCCAAAUGCUCAUCUGUUCUCUUCACUGCUGUAUCCCCAGAGCCUAGCACGGAGCCUGGCACAUAGUAGGUGCCAAGUAAACAAUUGUUGAAUAAAUGACCCAUCUCUCAUGAGAUUUAUCAAGAUUUAUCUCCACCAAGAUUUAUCACCACCUCCGAGAAGCCUUCCUGAACUCCCCCAGGCUGCCUGCCUUUGGUCUGGGCUCCCUCAGCUUGAAGGUUCUGUAAUGAUUGAUUUCCAUGUCUGGUUUCCCUCCCACCCGCCACCAUCCAGCCUGGUACAUGGCCUGCCCUUGUGAGAUCUCGGCACUGGGAGAUGAAUGAGGCUCUCAGAGAGUUCUCUGGCUGCCCCUGCUGCGAGAGCCUCCUUAGCUGGGUCAGAUGAGCAGGAUGUCAGAAUAAAAGGAGAUUUUCAGAACAGACCCUCCAUGACCCCUGAGGCGCUGGGGGUGUGUGAGGGGGAGGCAUGCCCAAGGUCGUCAGGAGGUGACUAGCAAACAGGUCUCAAGACACCCACAUUUGCCCUCUGGCCACUCUUCCAAAGGGGAGGGAGUCUUGUGAGCUGGGGAAUCUGGCCUUUUGGUGGCCAAGGAGUUCCAUGAAGCAUGACAGAGGUGGUCAUGGUGGCUGGUCUGGGCGGUGGUCGAGGGUGAGGCUACACGGAAACAUUAGCCUUUUCUGCCUGAUGCCCUACUUCUCCCAAGAACCUUCUACCUUCCUUACAUUCUUCUCACCGGAGGCAGCAGCUUCAGCUUCGGGCCCCAGGGCUGUUAAACGCAGCUCCUCCCAUUCUUAUGGCAGAUAGACAUUCACUUUCACGUCUACAUUUAUAUUAGUAUUUUGCAGUUUUUCUUAAACAGGGCCACUGAAUUGUAUGAGGCUCCACACCCCUGGAGAUCUACUUCCAACAAAUCCUUCCACUGCGUCCAUAUAUGCAGGUCCUGUGUGAGGCGUUGGCAGGGACGCUCUGCCCUCCUGCAGCUCCCUGUCUGGUGGGGUGAUUGGGCUCCACUGAGCUCAUUGAGCCCUCAAAAUGCUUCAUGCCUUCCUACCCCUCUGCCUCCGUCCCUGCCAGCCUGGAGUCCUUUCCCUGUCCCUCCUGCCUGCAUGUGUCCCGCUUGCCUAGUGGAUUUUCUCCAUCCUUCAAGGCCCUUCUCACAAGCUGAUGCCUCUGAGAACCCUGCCCACUUCUCCCAGUGACAAGCACAGCCUCUUCCUUUGGAGCCUGUGGCACCGAAGGCCCUUUGCCUCUUCUGAUGCCUUUGGAUCUGGGCUGCUGUUGAUGGGUCAAUUUUCCCACCAGAUUAUGAGCUUUUGGAGGGCAAGGGGUGGAGUCUGAUUUCUCGCUGCCCGAGUCCCUCAUUCACCAAUGUUUCCUGAGUUGGACCAAGUCCUAUACCAAACAUUGGGUAUCCAGGGAUGGGACAAUCAGAUGAGAACCUGCCCUCAUCAUCGAGGAGCCCCCAGUCCCAGAGCUGUCUGCAUGGAAAUGUGUACCAAGUGCUUUCUGAACAGAGGAGGCUGCCUGAUUCAGCUGGAGGAGGGCAAGCUGGGUCAAGGGCAGCUUCACAGGGAGGGUGACACUUGGGUAUUUAAGAAGCAGAACUUAUCAAGAUAAGGAGGGAAGCGUCUUCUGGGCAGACGGAACAUUGAGCGCAAAGGCAUGAAAGUGGGAAUGGGCAGGUGGAGGGUGAGAAGUUAGUGUAUUUAGGGCAACAGAAAUGACGGAGGGAGAAGUGGGUUGCACAACAGAGCAGUUAGAGCACAGACUCUGGAGCCACAUGGCCUAGGUUCGAAUCCUGACACUACCAAGUGCUAGCUCUGUUGUUACUCAGUGCCUCAGUUUCCUUAUCUGUAGAGUGGGGAUAAUCCCAGUACUUACUUUGUAGGAUAUUUAUAAGGAUUAAGUGAGUUAAUUUUUGUAAGGCACCUAGGGUAGUGUUGAUGACACACGUAAGUUCCUAGUGAGUGUUAGGUAAAUGAGGGGGAGCCGGAGAGGCCAUGAUAGGUGGGGUUCAUGUUUGGAAUUUAUCUGGAGGACAUUGGAGCAUUAGCAAGGAGGGAGUGUGAAGGGGAGUGGGAAGCUUGGCUUGGACCCAGCCUGCUCUGCCCACUCACGCACAUCCAGAGGGCAUCCCUGGGACCCCCACCUGCCUGCCCCUCCUGCUCUCUGGUCUUCCACUGCCCUCAGUGGCCCUGUGGCCUCAACUAACCUCAGCUGAUGUAUAACAGGGCUGUAGGAGCUGGGGCCACACCUACCCCAGUACACCUGGGGGAAACUUUAUGUUCCAGUUUAUUGCCAAAGGAGGUCAAGUAGGGGUCCCGAGGGGAUCCGGGACACAUGUGCAGGGUGAGCAUCUGAGCUGUAGCCUGGCUUAACGCAUGGUGGAUUUGGUAAGAGUGUGUAUGUGGAAUGGGGAGUGGAGAGGGGCUGGAGGCACUUGCCUGGCCUGGAGAGCUGGUUGGAUGUAGGGCACUGUGGGCUGUGAUGCUGUGGGCUUGGGAGCCAGGUGCACAUCCUGGCCCAGUCACCUUCCCUCUCUGUGCCUGAGAUUCCUGUGGGUAAAAGGGAGAUGAAAAUAGUAGCUCCUUCAGGCCGGUUAGCUCAGUUGGGAAAAAAAAGAAAAAGAAAAUAGUGGCUACUUCAAAGGUGGUAAGGAUGAAAAGAUCAAAUGUUCAGUCAGUGAGGCCUGAGGUACAUGGUGUAUAUCUGGGAGACCAAAAUCAAUUCUGUAGUACCAAGGCCGAAAGGUCAAGAGAGACUGUGGCUGGAGAGCCAGGCAGAGGGACGUGCCACACAAGGUCUUAGUCAAGAGUUGGCCUCUGUGCUGAGGGUGGAGGGGAGCCAUGGGAGGGUUUCACAGGGACAACAAGGUCAUAUGUGCUUCUCAGAGAUCACUGAGGUAGACAGACUGGGGCCUGUGUUAAGAGUCAAGGUGACAAGGAGAGGCGCGGGUCUGAGCCUGGGCCCCGGCUGUGGCCCAAGUGGGUGGGAGGCAUCCCAGAACAUCUACAGGGAAAGAG
rnacentral:lncRNA from 10 species